AUGAACGCUGGCGGCGUGCCUCAUCCAUGCCCGUCGAGCGAACAGACGAGGAGCUUGCUCCUCUGACGUUAGCGGCGGACGGGUGAGUAACACGUGGAUAACCUACCUAUAAGACUGGGAUAACUUCGGGAAACCGGAGCUAAUACCGGAUAAUAUAUUGAACCGCAUGGUUCAAUAGUGAAAGACGGUUUUGCUGUCACUUAUAGAUGGAUCCGCGCCGCAUUAGCUAGUUGGUAAGGUAACGGCUUACCAAGGCAACGAUGCGUAGCCGACCUGAGAGGGUGAUCGGCCACACUGGAACUGAGACACGGUCCAGACUCCUACGGGAGGCAGCAGUAGGGAAUCUUCCGCAAUGGGCGAAAGCCUGACGGAGCAACGCCGCGUGAGUGAUGAAGGUCUUCGGAUCGUAAAACUCUGUUAUUAGGGAAGAACAAAUGUGUAAGUAACUAUGCACGUCUUGACGGUACCUAAUCAGAAAGCCACGGCUAACUACGUG
rnacentral:rRNA from 1 species